GCCCUCAUAGCUCAACAGGAUAGAGCACAGGUUUCCUAAACCUGGAAUCGGGGUUCGAGUCCCUGUGAGGGCA
rnacentral:tRNA from 1 species